AUGGCAGUGAACGUAUAUUCAACGUCAGUCACCAGUGAUAACCUAAGUCGACAUGACAUGCUGGCCUGGAUCAAUGAGUCUCUGCAGCUGAAUCUGACAAAGAUCGAACAGUUGUGCUCAGGGGCUGCCUACUGACAGUUUAUGGACAUGCUAUUCCCUGGCUCCAUUGCCUUGAAGAAAGUGAAAUUCCAGGCUAAGCUAGAACAUGAAUACAUCCAGAACUUCAAAAUACUACAAGCAGGUUUUAAGAGAAUGGGUGUUGACAAAAUAAUUCCUGUGGACAAAUUAGUAAAAGGAAAGUUUCAGGACAAUUUUGAAUUUGUUCGGUGGUUCAAGAAGUUUUUUGAUGCACACUAUGAUGGAAAAGACUAUGACCCCAUAGCUUCCAGACAAGGUCAAGAAACUGCAGUGGCUCCCUCCCUUGUUGCUCCAGCUCUGAACAAACUGAAGAAACCUCUCAGCUCUAGCAGCGCAGCUCCACAGAGGCCCAUUGCAACACACAGAACUACUGCAACCCCUAAGGCUGGUCCGGGUGUGGUGUGAAAGAAUCCUGGUGUGGGCAACGGGGAUGACGAAGCAGCUGAAUUGAUGCAACAGGUCAACCUACUGAAACUUACUGUCGAAGACUUGGAGAAAGAUAGAGAUUUCUACUUUGGAAAGCUAAAGAACAUUGAAUUGAUUUGCCAGGAGAACAGGGGGAAAACAACCCGGUAUUGCAGAGGAUCGUGGACAUUCUGUAUGCCACAGAUGAAGGCUUUGUGAUACCUGAUGAAGGGGGCCCACAGGAGGAACAAGAAGAGUAUUAACAGCCUGGACCAGCAGAGCAACAUCCGAAUUCUUCACUCUAAAUCAUGUGCUUAACUGUAAAAUAACCCUUUUGUUAUUGUUAGAGGACUCACUGGUUUCUUUUCAGGAGCAAACAGUACCUCUUCUUAAAGUG